GCCGAAGUGGUGGAACUGGUAGACACGCUGUCUUGAGGGGGCAGUGGAGAGAUCCGUGCGGGUUCGAGUCCCGCCUUCGGCACCA
rnacentral:tRNA from 1 species